rnacentral:siRNA from 1 species
UCCAGCCGAGUGCCUUGGUCGA